rnacentral:rRNA from 5 species
UAUUACAAUGAAGAGUUUGAUCCUGGCUCAGGAUGAACGCUAGCUACAGGCUUAACACAUGCAAGUCGAGGGGCAGCAUGGUCUUAGCUUGCUAAGGCCGAUGGCGACCGGCGCACGGGUGAGUAACACGUAUCCAACCUGCCGUCUACUCUUGGACAGCCUUCUGAAAGGAAGAUUAAUACAAGAUGGCAUCAUGAGUCCGCAUGUUCACAUGAUUAAAGGUAUUCCGGUAGACGAUGGGGAUGCGUUCCAUUAGAUAGUAGGCGGGGUAACGGCCCACCUAGUCUUCGAUGGAUAGGGGUUCUGAGAGGAAGGUCCCCCACAUUGGAACUGAGACACGGUCCAAACUCCUACGGGAGGCAGCAGUGAGGAAUAUUGGUCAAUGGGCGAGAGCCUGAACCAGCCAAGUAGCGUGAAGGAUGACUGCCCUAUGGGUUGUAAACUUCUUUUAUAAAGGAAUAAAGUCGGGUAUGGAUACCCGUUUGCAUGUACUUUAUGAAUAAGGAUCGGCUAACUCCGUGCCAGCAGCCGCGGUAAUACGGAGGAUCCGAGCGUUAUCCGGAUUUAUUGGGUUUAAAGGGAGCGUAGAUGGAUGUUUAAGUCAGUUGUGAAAGUUUGCGGCUCAACCGUAAAAUUGCAGUUGAUACUGGAUAUCUUGAGUGCAGUUGAGGCAGGCGGAAUUCGUGGUGUAGCGGUGAAAUGCUUAGAUAUCACGAAGAACUCCGAUUGCGAAGGCAGCCUGCUAAGCUGCAACUGACAUUGAGGCUCGAAAGUGUGGGUAUCAAACAGGAUUAGAUACCCUGGUAGUCCACACGGUAAACGAUGAAUACUCGCUGUUUGCGAUAUACUGCAAGCGGCCAAGCGAAAGCGUUAAGUAUUCCACCUGGGGAGUACGCCGGCAACGGUGAAACUCAAAGGAAUUGACGGGGGCCCGCACAAGCGGAGGAACAUGUGGUUUAAUUCGAUGAUACGCGAGGAACCUUACCCGGGCUUAAAUUGCAGAUGAAUUACGGUGAAAGCCGUAAGCCGCAAGGCAUCUGUGAAGGUGCUGCAUGGUUGUCGUCAGCUCGUGCCGUGAGGUGUCGGCUUAAGUGCCAUAACGAGCGCAACCCUUGUUGUCAGUUACUAACAGGUUCCGCUGAGGACUCUGACAAGACUGCCAUCGUAAGAUGUGAGGAAGGUGGGGAUGACGUCAAAUCAGCACGGCCCUUACGUCCGGGGCUACACACGUGUUACAAUGGGGGGUACAGAGGGCCGCUACCACGCGAGUGGAUGCCAAUCCCCAAAACCUCUCUCAGUUCGGACUGGAGUCUGCAACCCGACUCCACGAAGCUGGAUUCGCUAGUAAUCGCGCAUCAGCCACGGCGCGGUGAAUACGUUCCCGGGCCUUGUACACACCGCCCGUCAAGCCAUGGGAGCCGGGGGUACCUGAAGUGCGUAACCGCGAGGAGCGCCCUAGGGUAAAACUGGUGACUGGGGCUAAGUCGUAACAAGGUAGCCGUACCGGAAGGUGCGGCUGGAACACCUCCUUUCU